UACGAAGGGGGCUAGCGUUGCUCGGAAUCACUGGGCGUAAAGCGCACGUAGGCGGCUUGUUAAGUCAGGGGUGAAAUCCUGGAGCUCAACUCCAGAACUGCCUUUGAUACUGGCGAGCUUGAGUCCGGGAGAGGUGAGUGGAACUGCGAGUGUAGAGGUGAAAUUCGUAGAUAUUCGCAAGAACACCAGUGGCGAAGGCGGCUCGCUGGCCCGGUACUGACGCUGAGGUGCGAAAGCGUGGGGAGCAAACAGG
rnacentral:rRNA from 1 species